GGGGAUUUAGCUCAGUGGUAGAGCGCUUGCCUAGGAAGCUCAAGGCCCUGGGUUCAAUCCCCAGCUCCG
rnacentral:tRNA from 1 species